GCCCAUUAUUGGGUUACCAACAGUCUACACUUAUUAUAGAAUUUCUCUCUCCUACAUACCCACAACAUGGAGAAGAUUCUCUGUCAACCUUACUUUUUGAUGUGCCUUCAAUCAAAUUAUUUCUAGUGAGUGUAACCUUGAACACCACUUUUAAAUGAUGUUUUGAUAGUACACCAUGCUAUUUGUCUUCUUCCUACUGUAGAUCUUAUAUUCUUUACCUUGCUGUCUGUACC